UUCACUUUCUCUGCUGCAAGCCUUCCCUGAGCUUCUGUCCUGUUUCCUGCACUGCCUUCCUCAUUUCCUCCUUCCUUCCUUCACUGAGUCCUUCUGUGAGAUUCCCCCGAGCCCCUUCCAGCAUGUUCUGUUUGCAUCUGCAGCACUACCGAGCAGAAGAUAACUGCUGCCCUCCUCCUACAACGCUAGAGGACAAGCCCCAGGAGGGACCAGCUCUUUCUCCACGCUGACGGUAAAGGAGACAUUGCUAUAUUGGUUAAUAUAGAUAAGGAACUACUUUUCCUAUGCUGAGGGUUUUGUGUGGAUACAGUAAUUGUCUUAUGUGUCACCAAGUCCUGAGACUGCAGAACCCACAGAACAACAACUCCAUGAAGAACAGCAACUCCAAUGUGCACAGUAGGAGCAAAUAUUAACGAAGAGUGGUUCAGGAGGACCGUUGGACAACAGACGACAGGACAGCAUUGAGAAAGAAAAGGCUCGUCAGUCUCUAGCUGACCCCCGUAAAUUUCUGUACAUUGGUCAGUAAAUACUUCUUUUAAAGUGACCCUCAAAACUAAACAGGAACUGGUAGCAUUGGCGCUGAUGUGGGCAUUGGUGGCCAGGUUGAGAAUGGCAGGGAACAAGCCUGAAAGUCAACGUCCAAAAGCCAAAUGAGCCAAGCCAAACCGAGCUGCGUAGCCCAUUUCACAGGCAGAUCCAAAGAGGACUGAAAACCCAGGAGCUGAAUGAAGGAACCUUCCAUCAGGACUAGAUACACGAGAAGCAAAAGUCUCACUGAUGUGAGACAGGACACGUCUGUGAGAAAACCCAGAACACAAGAAGGAAUUUUCUAGAGUAAAUAUGUUCCAUAUCUUUCUCAAAGUCUGGGCUUCUUAGGCACAUGUGAUAGUGGGAAAAUAUACAGAAUGAAUACACUAAGAUUUGGGCAUUUUACCACAGUUCCAUUUUAUCUGAAGUAACAAGAACAAUUAUUAAUGGGUAACCUCAGCCAAUGGUUGGGGUGGGUUAUCCUUAUGCCUUCAAUUCAUUUUGAAAUGCAUCAAAGCUUAUCCUGGUUGAUAGAGGGAUGGGCCUUAACCACACCUGGAGAACCUGGAUUCUCAGUGUAUCCUUCUAGUUUCUGAUUGCAAUUUUCCUGUUAAAAUGUUGAAACAAUGUGUUUAAAAGCAAGUUAUAAAUUCACACACUGUCCAAGGAAAUUUGCCCACCUGCCUCAAAGAAGGAGCCAGCUGCCUGAUGUCUCUGGCAGGACUCGCAGGGUCUUCCCUGUAAUUUUGUGUAAUUUUCUUUUCUCCCUAAGGAUGGCCUGUUUUCUUGUGUGACUAAAACUUCAGAACACAGAGAUCCAAAUUUUACAAUUCUCCCCAACACAGAUAAUC